GACGAACGCUGGCGGCGUGCUUAACACAUGCAAGUCGAACGGUAAGGCCCUUCGGGGUACACGAGUGGCGAACGGGUGAGUAACACGUGGGUGAUCUGCCCUGCACUUCGGGAUAAGCCUGGGAAACUGGGUCUAAUACCGGAUAGGACCACUGCCUGCAUGGGUGGGGGUGGAAAGCUUUUGCGGUGUGGGAUGAGCCCGCGGCCUAUCAGCUUGUUGGUGGGGUGAUGGCCUACCAAGGCGACGACGGGUAGCCGGCCUGAGAGGGUGACCGGCCACACUGGGACUGAGAUACGGCCCAGACUCCUACGGGAGGCAGCAGUGGGGAAUAUUGCACAAUGGGCGCAAGCCUGAUGCAGCGACGCCGCGUGAGGGAUGACGGCCUUCGGGUUGUAAACCUCUUUCAGCACCGACGAAGCGCAAGUGACGGUAGGUGCAGAAGAAGGACCAGCCAACUACGUGCCAGCCGCCGCAGUAA
rnacentral:rRNA from 1 species